AUACCAGUGCAAAAGGUGCAGAGCAAAUUUUGAACCAUGACUUUGAAAUGUAAAAUCGCCUCAAACUUAGUCAGGUGUUAAAUGAAACCAUGUUUCUGUCAUGAUGCUGCAUUAUGUUUUUGAGAGUAGCAAGUAUUAUUUCACAUCAAAGCUGUGCUGUAACAAGAAAAAAUGCAAGUCGUAGCAGAAACUGAUUUUGCUUAAAAAUAUGGUAGCGUUUGCUACUUCAUGUAGGACAUAGCAAUAGAUUUAGAAACAUCAUCAUUAUUGUCAUCAUAGUUGACUAGAUAGCCCAAUGUGAACCAAUGCCUUCCUCUGAAGAUUUCUCCAUAAUGACUUUCGAUUUAUCUUUGAUCUCCAAUUCCUUUCAUCAAUUGCAAGAAAAUCAGAGUAAACCAAGUCAGUCCGUUUCAACCAUUUAGAAACACAGACAUCGUUUAGCCCAUUUAGAAACACAGAAAAAAAUUUAAAUAUAAAUAUAAUAGAGUAACUGUCAAUUUAUUUUUUGAAAGUGUGAGUAAAAAUUUUUAUAUGAAGUUUAAUUUAAAAAUACGAUUUUGGUUAUGAAACAUGUAAUGAAGAAUUUAUGAAAUAUAUAAAUUUAUAUUUAAAUUUA